rnacentral:rRNA from 1 species
UACCAGCUCUCCGAGUGGUGUGGAUGUUUAUUGGGCCUAAAGCAUCCGUAGCUGGCUGGGCAAGUCCCCUGUUAAAUCCACCGAUUUAAUCGUUGGUGUGCGGGGGAUACUGUUCGGCUAGGGGACGGGAGAGGCCGACGGUAUUUUCGGGGUAGGGGUGAAAUCCUAUAAUCCCGGGAAGACCACCAGUGGCGAAGGCUGUCGGCUAGAACGCGCCCGACGGUGAGGGAUGAAAGCUGGGGGAGCGAACCGGAUUAGAUACCCGGGUAGUCCCAGCUGUAAACGAUGCAGGCUAGGUGUUUGGGCGGCCACGUGCCGCUCUAGUGCCGCAGAGAAGUCGUUAAGCCUGCCGCCUGGGGAGUACGGCCGCAAGGCUGAAACUUAAAGGAAUUGGGCGGGGAGCACCACGAAGGGGUGAGGCUUGCGGUUU